CGUGUAGGCGGAACGGAAAGUACCUUGUGAAAGCCCCCGGCUCAACCGGGGAAUGGCUCGGUAUACUAUCGUUCUUGAGGCAGGUAGGGGCUGCUGGAACCUUAGGUGGAGCGGUGGAAUGCGUAGAUAUCAAGAGGAACGCCAACGGAGAAAUCAGUGCACUGGGCUUGUCCUGACGCUGAGACACGAAAGCGUGGGGAGCGAACAGGAUUAGAUACCCUGGUAGUCC
rnacentral:rRNA from 1 species